UACGUAGGGUGCGAGCGUUGUCCGGAAUUAUUGGGCGUAAAGAGCUUGUAGGCGGUUUGUCGCGUCUGCUGUGAAAAUCCGGGGCUCAACCCCGGACUUGCAGUGGGUACGGGCAGACUAGAGUGUGGUAGGGGAGACUGGAAUUCCUGGUGUAGCGGUGGAAUGCGCAGAUAUCGGGAGGAACACCGGUGGCGAAGGCGGUUCUCUGGGCCUUACCUGACACUGAGGAGCGAAAGCGUGGGGAGCGAACAGG
rnacentral:rRNA from 1 species